rnacentral:rRNA from 1 species
AUUUUGGUUGGUCUGUCCUUCGGGGCAUUCUGGCUGACUUUGGCACUUGCUCACUGAUGUCAUUGUCUUUGCCCAAGGUAAUUGCCUUGUGUGCAUGGCAUUGACCUUCUAUUUUAUGGUAAUGAGGUCAUCUUUCGGGGUGACUCUUCAUUCCAUAUAGUUUACCUUGAAAAAAUUAGGGUUUUUAAAGCAGGCGAAAAGGCUUCGGAAUAUAUUAGCACGGGAUAAUAGAAUACGAUUUAGGUCGUAAUUUGUUGGUUUCUACGGCUUAGGUAAUGAUUGACAGGGAUAGUUGGGGUCGCUCGUAUUGAGUUGUCAGAGGUGAAAUUCUAGGAUUAACUCAAGACGAACUAAUGCGAAAGCAUUCGGCAAGGAUGUUUUCAUUAAUCAAGAACGAAAGUUGGGGGAUCGAAGAUGAUCAGAUACCGUCGUAGUCUCAACUGUAAACUAUGUCGACCGAGGAUCCGGUAGCGUUACAUGGAUGACCUUCCGGGCACUCUGUGAGAAAUCAUAAGUAUUUGGAUUUCGGGGGGAGUAUGGUCGCAAGGCUGAAACUUAAAGGGAUUGACGGAAGGGCACCACCAGGAGUGGAAUCUGCGGCUUAAUUUGACCCAACACGGGAAAACUUACCAGGUCCGGACACAGUGAGGAUUGACAGAUUGAGAGCUCUUUCUUGAUUUUGUGGGUGGUGGUGCAUGGCCGUUUUUAGUUGGUGGAGUGAUUUGUCUGGUUAAUUCCGUUAACGAACGAGACCUUAACCUAUUAAAUAGCUGCGCGAACCCAGGUUCUUUAACCAUUCUCUCCUUCGGGGGGGCGUGGUAUCAUCUCUUUGCUUUUCACCUUCGGGUGGGAGGUAGGGGGAUGAUAGGGCCUGAGAUGAGUUGGUGAUUUGGCUUCUUAGAGGGACUACUUGCAUCCUUAGCAAGGGGAGGUUUGAGGCAAAAACAGGUCUGUGAUGCCCUUCGAUGUUCUGGGCUGCACGCGCGUUACACUGGCGCAUGCAAAGAGUUUAAAAUUCCUGUCCUGAUGAGGUUGGGAAAUCUUUUUAAAGUGCGUCGUGAUGGGGAUAGAGCAUUGAAAUUAUUGCUCUUGAACGAGGAAUUCCUAGUAAUUGCAGGUCAUCAACCUGCAAUGAUUACGUCCCUGCCCUUUGUACACACCGCCCGUCGCUCCUACCGAUGGUUGGACCGAUGAGGACUCGGGAUGAUCUUAUUAGAUCGGUCGGUCGAAAGAUCGAUAGACUAUUAGGUCAGAACUUGUUCAAAUCUUUUUAACUAGAGGAAGGAGAAGUCGUAACAAGGUUUCCGUAGGUGAACCUGCGGAAG